UCCUACGGGAGGCAGCAGUGAGGAAUCUUCCACAAUGGGCGAAAGCCUGAUGGAGCGACACCGCGUGAAGGAUGAAGCCUUUGUUGGUGUAAACUUCUUUUCUCUUGGAAGAUAAUGACGGUACAAGAGGAAUAAGGGGCGGCAAACUUCGUGCCAGCAGCCGCGGUAAUACGAAGGCCCCAAGCGUUAUCCGGAAUUACUGGGCGUAAAGCGUCUGUAGGUGGUCUGGAAAGUUUCAAGUUAAAGGUCAGGGCUCAACCCUGUACUUGUUUGGAAAACUAUCAGACUUGAGUGCGGGAGAGGCAAGCAGAACUGUAUGAGUAGGGGUGCAAUCCGUUGAUACAUACAAGAAUACCAAAAGCGAAGGCAGCUUGCUGGAACGCCACUGACACUGAGAGACGAAAGCGUGGGGAGCAAAAGGGAUUAGAUACCCCUGUAGUCCACGCCCUAAACGAUGGAUGCUAAGUGUCGGGCUUUGCCCGGUACUUCAAGCUAACGCAUUAAGCAUCCCGCCUGAGGAGUACGGCCGCAAGGUUAAAACUCAAAUGAAUAGACGGGGACCCGCACAAGCAGUGGAUCAUGUGGUUUAAUUCGACACUAAACGAGAAACCUCACCUAGGCUUGACAUUGAUAGAAAGAGACAGAAAUGUUUUUGUGCCCGCAAGGGAACUUGAAAACAGGUGCUGCAUGGUUGUCGUCAGCUCGUGCCUUGAGGUGUUCGGUUAAGUCCGUUAACGAGCGCAACCCAUGUCGUUAGUUAUUAUGUCUAACGAGACUGCCUGAGUUAAUCAGGAGGAAGGUGUGGAUGACGUCAAAUCAGCAUGGCCCUUAUGCCUAGGGCUACACACAUGAUACAAUGGUCGGUACAAAGGGUUGCAAUAUGGUAACAUGGAGCCAAUCCCAGAAAGCCGAUCUCAGUCCAGAUUGAGGGCUGCAACUCGCCCUCAUGAAGUUGGAAUUGCUAGUAAUCGUGAAUCAGCUAUGUCACGGUGAAUCUGUUCCCGGGCCUUGUACACACCGCCCUCGGA
rnacentral:rRNA from 1 species